GAGGGGUGUCACGGGGUAUGACUAUAUAGGUCUUGUAGAGGAGAAACAGGCGCAUCUUUUGCGCAAGGUAUUGAAGGGCGCUAUGUUCAAAUAUCUGAAACUAGAGCUCAAAAUAAAAAAAAAAAUGUUAAAAACAGGGGGGUUGGCCUAUUCCAUGGCUUCUAGAGAAAAAUAAUGAGGGGUGUCACGGGGUAUGACUAUAUAGGUCUUGUAGAGGAGAAACAGGCGCAUCUUUUGCGCAAGGUAUCGAAGGGCGCUAUGUUCAAAAAUCUGAAACUAGAGCUCAAAAUAAAAAAAAAAAUGUUGAAAACAGGGGGGUUGGCCUAUUCCAUGGCUUCUAGAGAAAAAUAAUGAGGGGUGUCACGGGAUAUGACUAUAUAGGUCUUGUAGAGGAGAAACAGGCGCAUCUUUUGCGCAAGGUAUCGAAGAGCGCUAUGUUCAAAAAUCUGAAACUAGAGCUCAAAAUUAAAAAAAAAAUGUUAAAAACAGGGGGGUUGGUCUAUUCCAUGGCUUCUAGAGAAAAAUAAUGAGGGGUGUCACGGGGUAUGACUAUAUAGGUCUUGUGGAGCAGAAACAGGCGCAUCUUUUGAGCAAGGUAUCGAAGGGCGCUAUGUUCAAAAAUCUGAAACUAGAGCUCAAAAUUAAAAAAAAAAAAAUGUUAAAAACAGGGGGUUGGCCUAUUCCAUGGCUUCUACAGAAAAAUAAUGAGGGGUGUCACGGGGUAUGACUAUACAGGUCUUGUAGAGGAGAAACAGGCGCAUCUUUUGCGCAAGGUAUCAACGGGCGCUAUGUUCAAAAAUCUGAAACUAGAGCUCAAAAUUAAAAAAAAAAUGUUAAAAACAGGGGGUUGGCUUAUUCCAUGGCUUCUAGAGAAAAAUAAUGAGGGGUGUCACGGGGUUUGACUAUAUUGGUCUUGUAGAGGAGAAACAGGCGCAUCUUUUGCGCAAGGUAUCGAAGGGCGCUAUGUUCAAAAAUCUGAAACUAGAGCUCAAAAUUAAAAAAAAAAAUGUUAAAAACAGGGGGGUUGGCCUAUUCCAUGGCUUCUAGAGAAAAAUAAUGAGGGGUGUCACGGGAUAUGACUAUAUAGGUCUUGUAGAGGAGGAACAGGCGCAUCUUCUGCGCAAGGUAUCGAAGGGCGCUAUGUUCAAAAAUCUGAAACUAGAGCUAAAAAUUUAAAAAAAAAUGUUAAAAACAGGGGGAUUGGCCUAUUCCAUGGCUUCUAGAGAAAAAUAAUGAGGGGUGUCACGGGAUAUGACUAUAUAGGUCUUGUAGAGGAGAAACAGGCGCAUCUUUUGCGCAAGGUAUCGAAGGGCGCUAUGUUCAAAAAUCUUAAACUAGAGCUCAAAUUUUUAAAAAAAAAUGUUAAAAACAGGGGGGUUGGCCUAUUCCAUGCCUUCUAGAGAAAAAUAAUGAGGGGUGUCACGGGAUAUGACUAUAUUGGUCUUGUAGAAGAGAAACAGGCGCAUCUUUUGCGCAAGGUAUCGAAAGGCGCUAUGUUCAAAAAUCUGAAACUAGAGCUCAAAAUUAAAAAAAAAAAAAUGUUAAAAACAGGGGGGUUGGCCUAUUCCAUGGCUUCUAGAGAAAAAUAAUGACGGGUGUCACGGAGUAUGACUAUACAGGUCUUGUAGAGGAGAAACAGGCGCAUCUUUUGCGCAAGGUAUCGAAGGGCGCUAUGUUCAAAAAUCUGAAACUAGAGCUCAAAAUUAAAAAAAAAAAAUGUUAAAAACAGGGGGGUUGGCCUAUUCCAUGGCUUCUAGAGAAAAAUAAUGAGGGGUGUCACGGGAUAUGACUAUAUAGGUCUUGUAGAAGAGAAACAGGCGCAUCUUUUGCGCAAGGUAUCGAAGGGCGCUAUGUUCAAAAAUCUGAAACUAGAGCUCAAAAUUAAAAAAAAAAAAUGUUAAAAACAGGGGGGUUGGCCUAUUCAAUGGCUUCUAGAGAAAAACAAUGAGGGGUGUCACGGAGUAUGACUAUACAGGUCUUGUAGAAGAGAAACAGGCGCAUCUUUUGCGCAAGGUAUCGAAGGGCGCUAUGUUCAGAAAUCUGAAACAAGAGCUCAAAAUUAAAAAAAAAAAUGUUAAAAACAGGGGGGUUGGCCUAUUCCAUGGCUUCUAGAGAAAAAUAAUGAGGGGUGUCACGGGGUAUGACUAUAUAGGUCUUGUAGAGGAGAAACAGGCGCAUCUUUUGCGCAAGGUAUCGAAGGGCGCUAUGUUCAAAAAUCUUAAACUAGAGCUCAAAAUUAAAAAAAAAAAUGUUAAAAACAGGGGGGUUGGCCUAUUCCAUGGCUUCUAGAGAAAAAUAAUGAGGGGUGUCACGGGAUAUGACUAUAUAGGUCUUGUAGAGGAGAAACAGGCGCAUCUUUUGCGCAAGGUAUCGAAGGGCGCUAUGUUCAAAAAUCUGAAACUAGAGCUCAAAAUUAAAAAAAAAAAUCUUAAAAACAGGGGGGUUGGCCUAUUCCAUGGCUUCUAGAGAAAAGUAAUGAGGGGUGUCACGGGAUAUGACUAUAUUGGUCUUGUAGAGGAGAAACAGGCGCAUCUUUUGCGUAAGGUAUCGAAGGGUGCUAUGUUCAAAAAUCUUAAACUAGAGCUCAAAAUUAAAAAAAAAAAUGUUAAAAACAGGGGGGUUGGCCUAUUCCAUGCCUUCUAGAGAAAAAUAAUGAGGGGUGUCACGGAGUAUGACUAUACAGGUCUUGUAGAGCAGAAACAGGCGCAUCUUUUGCGCAAGGUAUCGAAGGGCGCUAUGUUAAAAAAUCUGAAACUAGAGCUCAAAAUUUAAAAAAAAAAAUGUUAAAAACAGGGGGGGUUGGCCUAUUCCAUGGUUUCUAGAGAAAAAUAAUGAGGGGUGUCACGGAGUAUGACUAUACAGGUCUUGUAGAGGAGAAACAGGCGCAUCUUUUGCGCAAGGUAUCGAAGGGCGCUAUGUUCAAAAAUCUGAAACUAGAGCUCAAAAUUAAAAAAAAAAUGUUAAAAACAGGGGGGUUGGCCUAUUCAAUGGCUUCUAGAGAAAAAUAAUGAGGGGUGUCACGGGGUAUGACUAUAUAGGUCUUGUAGAGCAGAAACAGGCGCAUCUUUUGCGCAAGGUAUCGAAGGGCGCUAUGUUCAAAAAUCUGAAACUAGAGCUCAAAAUUAAAAAAAAAAUUGUUAAAAACAGGGGGGGUUGGCCUAUUCCAUGGUUUCUAGAGAAAAAUAAUGAGGGGUGUCACGGAGUAUGACUAUACAGGUCUUGUAGAGGAGAAACAGGCGCAUCUUUUGCGCAAGGUAUCGAAGGGCGCUAUGUUCAAAAAUCUGAAACUAGAGCUCAAAAUUAAAAAAAAAAUGUUAAAAACAGGGGGGUUGGCCUAUUCAAUGGCUUCUAGAGAAAAAUAAUGAGGGGUGUCACGGGGUAUGACUAUAUAGGUCUUGUAGAGGAG